AUUGAACGCUGGCGGCAGGGUUAACACAUGCAAGUCGAACGAGUGGCGGACGGGUGAGUAAUGUUUGGGAAACUGCCUGAUGGAGGGGGAUAACUACUGGAAACGGUAGCUAAUACCGCAUACCAUCAGAUGUGCCCAGAUGGGAUUAGCUAGUUGGUGGGGUAACGGCUCACCAAGCCUACGAUCCCUAGCUGGUCUGAGAGGAUGACCAGCCAAACUGGGACUGAGACACGGUCCAGACUCCUACGGGAGGCAGCAGUGGGGAAUAUUGCACAAUGGGCGCAAUCCUGAUGCAGCCAUGCCGCGUGUAUGAAGAAGGCCUUCGGGUUGUAAAGUACUUUCGGCAGGGAGGCGUUACCCACAGAAGAAGCACCGGCUAACUCCGUGCCAGCAGCCGCGGUAAUAC
rnacentral:rRNA from 1 species